AGGAUGAACGCUGGCGGCGUGCCUAAAACAUGCAAGUCAUACGGGCUACCUUCGGGUAGCCAGUGGCAAACGGGUGAGUAACACGUGGGAACGCGCCUUGGGGUGGGGAAUAACGCUGAGAAAUCAGUGCUAAUACCGCAUACGGUCUAACGACUAAAGCAGCAGUGCGCCCCGAGAGCGGCCCGCGACCGAUUAGCUAGUUGGUGGGGUAAUGGCCUACCAAGGCGGUGAUCGGUAGCUGGUCUGAGAGGAUGGUCAGCCACACUGGGACUGCGAACGGCCCAGACUCCUACGGGAGGCAGCAGUUAGGAAUUUUCGGCAAUGGACGAAAGUCUGACCGAGCGACGCCGCGUGGAGGAUGACGCCUUUCGGGGUGUAAACUCCUUUUCUGCGGGAAGAUAAUGACGGUACCGCAGGAAUAAGCACCGGCUAACUACGUGCCAGCAGCCGC
rnacentral:rRNA from 1 species